ACAUUAAAAGAUAGAAGAGGGGAAAAUAUCCCAGGUGCGGCUCCAAAACCAUCCAUCACAUCACUUAAGGAAACAAAGGACUGGUCGCUGCUGCAGUGUAAGGUUCAUGGCAAUCCAGAACCUGAAGUAAAGUGGCAGGACAGUGCUGGGAACAAACUUCCUGCUGAGGAGCCACAGCUC